rnacentral:lncRNA from 1 species
CUCAAAUCAACCUUGGAUCCCUCCUAGUUAUUAAGAUUAAGAUUAAGAAAAAAAGAUUAGAUCUUCACAUUUACACGGAUAGCUCUUCACCAUAAUCUAAUAAUCAUGAAUGUCUUCAUGGUUCCUUUAAAGCUGUACAAGUGUCGGGUCUCUAUAGAUAUUCAUACGAGGCUGUCAUCUGAUCAAGAUAUCCAAUCUCAUCGGAAUGCUAGCUUCCUUGCAGAGAUCUUCUUUGAUGGUGAAUUUCUUUUUUCUUUUGCUGAAAAAUUUUUUCAAAGAUUUCAGCCUUUCUUCUUCACAGCUCACGCACAUGCACCAAAAAGAUUAGGAAUCUUUCUUGAUCCUUUUUUUAUUUUCUUCUCAAGAAAAUCUAGUGCAGCCUUUCUCUUUUUUCUCUUCCUUCUUCCCUCUCUCAAGAAUUUUUCUUGGGCAUAAGCCUUCUCAAGGUUCUUUCCUUCUUUAAGGUCCAACCCUCGGACAUUAGAACACCCUCACGUAGAAAAAGCUAGAACGUCCAACAUUUGAGCGUGUAAAAGAGAGGAAGAUGGGGCGUGAAGGCUUAGGAUGUCCAACACUUUGGACGUACAAGAGAGAGGGAGUUAGGGC